UAAGGUGUUUACUAGUGAGUU
rnacentral:siRNA from 1 species